UUAGGGUCGCUGUGCUGUACAAGUCGGCUUUCCUUUCAUUUCCAAGACUAUGUUUUUAUAUACACCAAAGUAUGUUUAAAGAAUGUCAUCAAUAGGAACUUGUUUCCUAUAUAAUUAUACAACUUUCAGCAACGGAUCUCUUGGCUCUCGCAUCGAUGAAGAACGCAGCGAAAUGCGAUAAGUAAUGUGAAUUGCAGAAUUCAGUGAAUCAUCGAAUCUUUGAACGCACCUUGCGCUCCUUGGUAUUCCGAGGAGCAUGCCUGUUUGAGUGUCAUUAAAUUCUCAACCUUCCAGCUUUUUAUAAGCUUGGUUAGGCUUGGAUGUGGGGGUUGUGGGCUUCAUUAAUGAGGUCAGCUCUCCUUAAAUGCAUUAGCGGAACUUUUGUGGACCGUCUAUUGGUGUGAUAAUUAUCUACGCCGUGGAUGUGAAGCAGAUUUAUGAAGUUCAGCUUCUAACCGUCCAUUGACUUGGACAUUUUUGACAAUUUGACCUCAAAUCAGGUAGGACUACCCGCUGAACUUAAGCAUAUCAAUAAGCGGAGGAAAAGAAACUAACAAGGAUUCCCCUAGUAACUGCGAGUGAAGCGGGAAAAGCUCAAAUUUAAAAUCUGGCAGUCUUUGGCUGUGCCGAGU
rnacentral:rRNA from 1 species